rnacentral:misc_RNA from 1 species
GAUGAAGAACGCAGCGAACUGCGAUAAGUAAUGUGAAUUGCAGAAUUCAGUGAAUCAUCGAGUCUUUGAACGCACAUUGCGCCCCCUGGUAUUCCGGGGGGCAUGCCUGUCCGAGCGUCAUUGCUGCCCUCAAGCACGGCUUGUGUGUUGGGCCUCCGUCCUCCUCCCGGGGGACGGGCCCGAAAGGCAGCGGCGGCACCGCGUCCGGUCCUCGAGCGUAUGGGGCUUCGUCACCCGCUCUUGUAGGCCCGGCCGGCGCUUGCCGACACAUCAAUCUUUUUUCUAGGUUGACCUCGGAUCAGGUAGGGAUACCCGCUGAACUUAAGCAUAUCAAUAAGCAGAGGA